rnacentral:lncRNA from 1 species
UGAGAGGUGUUGGUUUAUAACUAUCGUACUUGACAAUUUCCGCAAAAUGUUCUCAAAUUUUUAUCAUAAUAUCCUCAUGUGAUUUUAAGACGUGUCGCCAGGUUUAAAGAUUUUUGGAGGUUAUUUGUAAUUUAUAUAAUUAAAAUCAUUUCUCUCGCAACUUUAUCGCCAUAUUUUAUAUAUAAGACGUUUGAAUUUUUGGACGAGCUUUAAGAAAUAGUCUCAAAUUAUAAUAAGUAUUGUGACUAUCAUUUUUACAAUCAUCGUAUUUUAUGAUUGGAUGCACCUGUAGUUUAAUAUUAUAUUUUUGGAAGAAAUACAUUUUAAUCGAGAUAAAUUAAAUAUAUAUAUGAAAUAUAUAGAGAAUUGUGUUAAAUUUUAACUUAGGCUUCAAAAUAAAGUGCAAAGUAAGUAUAAAAAGUUUUAAGAGAAAAAACAAAAAAAAAAGAAAAUUCAUGGUACACCACAGUCGUAGUGGGGACCUUGGGGAGCCGGG